CCGCUCAUAGUUUAACGGGAUAAAACGGCUGCCUCCUAAGCGGCAACUCCAGGUUCGAGUCCUGGUGGGCGGA
rfam:Thioalkalimicrobium aerophilum AL3, complete genome.